UACGUAGGGUGCGAGCGUUGUCCGGAAUUACUGGGCGUAAAGAGCUCGUAGGUGGUUUGUCGCGUUGUUCGUGAAAACUCACAACUCAAUUGUGGGCGUGCGGGCGAUACGGGCAGACUGGAAUACUGCAGGGGAGACUGGAAUUCCUGGUGUAGCGGUGAAAUGCGCAGAUAUCAGGAGGAACACCGGUGGCGAAGGCGGUGGUCUGGGCCGGCACUGACGCUGAGGAGCGAAAGUGUGGGGAGCGAACAGG
rnacentral:rRNA from 1 species